GGAAGCUCAAACUGAAGUGAGUUAAAAACUUCAUCUCCUAGAGAGGACUGUGGCUCGGCCUGAGUUGAGUUUUUUUAUGUUUAUGUGCAAGCGCAAUGAAGAAGAACACCAGCAAGUCUACCAUGAGGAUCAAUAAGCAAGAUGCUGUCUGCACCCCACACUCCCAUGAUCCGAGAGAUCUUCAAAAUAUGUUGGAUGGAGGAGAGUAUGCCCCUUUUGUAUCUCCUCCCAUGUUAGAGAGCAAUUUUAUCCAGCUCCACCCACAAGAUCCCCAAUGUGAUGCUACUGGCCCAUCUGACACCUGGUGCCCAAAAAGAUACAGAAACCCUGUUUAAAAGUCUCCUGACAUCUCCUCCUGCAGAGAAACUAGUGCU
rnacentral:sRNA from 1 species